rnacentral:rRNA from 1 species
GUAGGUGGCAAGCGUUGUCCGGAAUUAUUGGGCGUAAAGCGCGCGCAGGCGGUCCUUUAAGUCUGAUGUGAAAGCCCACGGCUCAACCGUGGAGGGUCAUUGGAAACUGGGGGACUUGAGUACAGAAGAGGAAAGCGGAAUUCCACGUGUAGCGGUGAAAUGCGUAGAGAUGUGGAGGAACACCAGUGGCGAAGGCGGCUUUCUGGUCUGUAACUGACGCUGAGGCGCGAAAGCGUGGGGAGCAAACAGGGAUUAGAUACCCGUGGUAGUCCACGCCGUAAACGAUGAGUGCUAAGUGUUAGGGGGUUUCCGCCCCCUUAGUGCUGCAGCUAACGCAUUAAGCACUCCGCCUGGGGAGUACGGCCGCAAGGCUG